AGUCGAGAAUAAUUCACAAUGGGGGCAACCCUGAUGGUGCAACGCCGCGUGGAGGAUGAAGGUCUUCGGAUUGUAAACUCCUGUCAUCCGGGAGUAAGACCUGGCUGUGAAUAGCAGACAGGGUUGAUAGUACCGGAAGAGGAAGGGACGGCUAACUUCGUGCCAGCAGCCGCGGUAAUACGAAGGUCCCGAGCGUUGUUCGGAAUCACUGGGCGUAAAGGGAGCGUAGGCGGCGCGGUAAGUCAGAUGUGAAAUCCCGGGGCUCAACCCCGGAACUGCAUCCGAUACUGCCGUGCUAGAGGAUUGGAGAGGUAGCUGGAAUUCUUGGUGUAGCAGUGAAAUGCGUGGAGAUCAAGAGGAACACUCGUGGCGAAAGCGAGCUACUGGACAAUAUCUGACGCUGAGGCUCGAAGGCCAGGGUAGCGAA
rnacentral:rRNA from 1 species